GGAAAGGCUGCUACUGGAGGAAGGUGAAGAGAGGGCCAGAUGAGGGCUCUUACUUGACUGCUGACCCAGGACUCCAUAGAUUUACUAAAAGGUUAAUCUUUACCCCUCAUGCCUCUCCCUCCAAUUGGCCUGGAAAGGGAUGAGAAUCCUUUUAAACUAGAGAUUACAGAACAAAAAUGACCACCAAGCAGUUGAUAGCCAA